CGAGAAACCUUUGCAAUGUGCGCAAGCACGACAAGGUUAAUCCGAGUGAUUCCUGCUAAAGGAAUCUUUUGUUAGUUGUAAAACCACUGAUGAAUAAGGGGGUGGGCAAGUUCUGGUGUCAGCCGCCGCGGUAAAACCAGCACCUCGAGUGGUCAGGAGGAUUAUUGGGCCUAAAGCAUCCGUAGCCUGUCCUGUAAGUUUCCGGUUAAAUCCAUUUGCUCAACAAAUGGGCUGCCGAAAAUACUGCAGGACUAGGGAGUGGGAGAGGUAGACGGUACUCGGUAGGAAGGGGUAAAAUCCUUUGAUCUAUUGAUGACCACCUGUGGCGAAGGCGGGUCUACCAGAACACGUUCGACGGUGAGGGGAUGAAAAGCUGGGGGAGCAAACCGGAUUAGAUACCCCGGGUAGUCCCAGCUGUAAACGAUGCAGACUCGGUGAUGCCC
rnacentral:rRNA from 1 species